GCCUACGGGAGGCUGCAGUGGGGAAUAUUGGACAAUGGGGGGAACCCUGAUCCAGCCAUGCCGCGUGUGUGAAGAAGGCCCUCGGGUUGUAUAGCACUUUCAGUGAGGAAGAACGCCUGGUGGUUAAUACCCAUCAGGAAAGACAUCACUCACAGAAGAAGCACCGGCUAACUCCGUGCCAGCAGCCGCGGUAAUACGGAGGGUGCGAGCGUUAAUCGGAAUUACUGGGCGUAAAGCGCGCGUAGGUGGCUUGAUAAGCCGGUUGUGAAAGCCCCGGGCUCAACCUGGGAACGGCAUCCGGAACUGUCAAGCUAGAGUGCAGGAGAGGAAGGUAGAAUUCCCGGUGUAGCGGUGAAAUGCGUAGAGAUCGGGAGGAAUACCAGUGGCGAAGGCGGCCUUCUGGACUGACACUGACACUGAGGUGCGAAAGCGUGGGUAGCAAACAGGAUUAGAUACCCGUGUAGUC
rnacentral:rRNA from 1 species